UACAUGGGGGUGCAAACGUUGCUCGGAAUCAUUGGGCGUAAAGCGCACGUAGGCGGUUCGUUAUGUCGGAUGUGAAAGCCCUCGGCUUAACCGGGGAAGUGCAUCCGAAACUGGCGAGCUUGAGUACUAAAGAGGGUCGCGGAAUUCCCGGUGUAGAGGUGAAAUUCGUAGAUAUCGGGAGGAACACCAGCGGCGAAGGCGGCGACCUGGACGGAUAUUGACGCUGAGGUGCGAAAGCGUGGGGAGCAACAGG
rnacentral:rRNA from 1 species